AGCAAGCAUUGGGAAGGAUGAAUGCCAACUAUGUUCCAGGAACUUCCACUGUUCUCACACACCCAGGUGAGUGGUGUUCAGGUGGGUGGCACCCAGGUGAGUGACAUCCCAGUUGAGUGGCACCCAGGUGAGUAGCAUCCAGGUGAGUGACACCUAGGUGAGUGACAUUCAGGUUAGUGGCGUCUGUGUGAGUGGCAUCAUCCAGGUGAGUAGCUUCCAGGUGAGUGGCACCCAGGUGAGUGGCAUUCGGGUGAGUGGCAUUAUCCAGGUGACACCUGGGUGAGUGGCAUCCAGGUGAGUGAUAUCAUCCAGGUAAGUGGCACCUAGGUGACAUCCAGGUGAGUGACGACAUCCAGGUGAGUGACAUCAUCCAGGUAAAUGGCACCCAGGUGAGUAGCAUUCAGGUGAGUGACACCCAGGCGAGUGGCAUCCACGUGACUAGCAUUGUCCAGGUGCAUAACACCCAGGUGAGUGGCACCCAGUUGAGUGGUGCCCAAGUGAGUCACAUCCAGGUAAGUGGGGUCCAGGUGGUGGCACCCAGGCGAGUGGUGCCCAGGUGAGUGACAGCCAGGUGAAUGGUGUCCAGGUGAGUGGCAUCACCCAGGUGAAUGGUGUCCAGGUGAGUGGCAUCCAGGUAAGUGGUGUCCAGGUGGUGGCACCCAGGUGAGUGGUGUCCAGGUGAGGGGCAUCACCCAGGUGAAUGGUGUCCAGGUGAGUGGCAUCCAGGUGGGUGGUACCGUCGACGUGACAAUAGCUAAAAAUUAUUGGGCUCAUUGUGGACAGGCACUGUGCCGAGCUUGACAUCACUGAACUCAGUUCAUCCUCGCCAGGAGCUUGUGGGCCGUCCCUAGAUCAGAAUCCGAGGAGAAAGGACUUCCACACGGCAGCCAGCGAGCUGGAGGGCGGCCUCCUGCCACCACCAGGCUCCCUAACCCAGUCCUGGAUAUCUGUGAAAGAAUGAGUGGAUCCCCACAGGCCAGCACCAGGAGAUCAGAACCUUCUGGAAUCUUAAUAUGCGAGGACUCGGUGGAGAAGGCGGCACUGAAGAAGAGUCGUCCCUAGGCCAGGCUGGAGGGAAACUCAAGACGGCGGCCUGGCCCUCCUGGGUGGCGGAAGUGGGAGCAGCAGGAGCCCUGGCGGAUCCGGGAGGCCAGAAGAGCGGAAGCUUCCUCCCCUCUCAGGACAGCCACAAGGACUUUCGGGGGUCGUGGCAGCUGCUCCACUUCCAACUUCCAGAUCCCUCUCACUUUCCUCUUCCCACCAACUCCAACCUGGGACCAAGCAGGGGAAAGCAGCUGCAGCCCAGCUUGACGCCCCUGCAAAUGGAGACCUGUGCACCUGGUUGUGAGCAUUUUAAAGGGUGUCACACAGGGCAUACCCUUCGGUGCCUGGAUUCCUUUGAUGAAAGGGCAAAGCCUUGAACCUAAGUCAUCUUCGAGUCCUCAGCACUUCACCCAGAGCCUGGCACACAGUAGGAGCACAGAAAG
rnacentral:lncRNA from 1 species